AAAGCUUGGUUCACAGAAGCAUUGGCAAC
rnacentral:sRNA from 1 species